rnacentral:rRNA from 1 species
CCUUGUACACACCGCCCGUCACGCUAUGGAAGCCGUCAACACCUGAAGCCGCCGCGCUAACCGCGAAGGGGCAGGCGUCGUAGGGGUGGGGAGGGUAACUGGAGCG